AGAUUAUAUCUUUACAUAUUUUGUGUGUCACUUUAUUAAGCAUUAAGAGCAACAGCUUAUCCAAGGUUUUAAACGAUUCAAUUGAUGAAUCACUUUUUGUGGAUGAUUUUA